rnacentral:lncRNA from 1 species
GUAAGCGGUGGGGUGGGGCUGCAGCUAGCAGGCUGUGAGCUCGGGCUGGCCUCCAGGGCAAGGACGGGAUGGGGAGUGGGGGGGCCUCUGCUCUCCAGGUAAGACACUUUGGGGUCCCCUGUGGGUUCAGAUGCUACCAACCAGCUGUGUGUCAGACAAGCCACAGCCUGCCUGCCAACUCUGUUUCCACAUCUGCAAAACAGGGAAGAUGAUCUGACGUGUCCCCAGUUAGAAAUGAGGUGUGGAAAGCACCACGCAAGGGGGAGGGACACGAGAUGCCUCAUCCUGGGUUCACCCCAGGGACCAUCGGGGUCUGCCUUUCCCAGCAUUCUCUCUCCCUUGAGGAUUCUCCAUUCCAUCAUUUUGGUGGCGUUUUCCCAGAUUAGGAGCCCAGGGACUUAGCUUAAAUGCCACUUCUUCUCUGCAGGACCUGGAAAAGUCAUUUCACCUCUCUAAAUCUCACUAACUUUUUUGGCAAAGGAGAGCACUUAAUGAAGAGUCCUUCCAGCUAACAACAACAACAGUAAUAAUAGCAGCUCCUGUUUCCUGUGUGUUUACUAUGUGCCAGACGCUAUGCUAGGCCCCUUACAUGUAGGAGCCAAUUUAAUCCUCAAAACAACCUUAAGAGGUAGGGUCUAUUGC